CUAUCUGCAAUGGAAAAUGGAGCAGGGCCAAGUAGAGUCGAGUCUAUCGAUUUGCACUAUAGUAGCAUUUUUCAGCAAGGCAGCAGAGAUCAUCAGAACACCGGCAACAGCUCAACGUUUAGCCCUGACGACAGAUUCUGUCAAUUUGGAUGAUGUCAUCAAGCCUUUACCUGCCAACCCACAGUUGCUGCAAAACUCUUGUCUGUGACAACAGUGCUGCUUUUAAGGCUCCAGACAUUGUCACUGCUCUGCUUCUGGUUCCUGAGACCUGCAGGACGUUGCCAUUGUGCUUCCAUCACACAGUCCUUCUCUAAUAGCUCUGCCCCAUUAACUAAUUUCAUAGCAUCUGCUUUCCCUUGUGGUCUGUGAAACCUUGUUGACAGCAUGGCAAUGGACCAUUCAAUUCCCCAUAAUUAAUGUUAAGUCGCACCAUUAAAAAUGAACUCUAAUAAUAAUGUAGGUAAUUGGUGAUGGACUUAGGUCCACAGACAAAACAUAUGAUAAUAACAAUACAGGAGGUACAUUGUAAAUUAAGUCAAAUUACUGCAUCUUCUUAGAAACUGUGAAUAAUAACAUAAAAUGUUGACUUUCCUUAAGAAAACGCUUAGGACUUCCAUAUCAUCAGUUUGUGAUGAAUGUUCCAGAUUCUUAAGUUAACCCUUUAACGCAUAGUGGUCACUACAGUGGACAGCUAUUCAAAAGCCAUUUACUUCAACGGGCAGAGGUUCUGAUAGUCUUACAUAGUUGCACAUCAGCUACUACAGUGGACACUAGUGUGUCAUGCCAUACACUGCCACCCUCUGGUAAGCCGUUGUAAGUGCAACUUAAAUUCGUCGGACGUUCGGGAACACUGUACAGCUCAGGUAAAUCUUGCCAUUCCUCCAAUUAUAGGAGACCCCUGCAGGUAAAUAAAAUUUGGUAACAUCUAGUAACAACUAAGGAGUAAUACAAUUGUUAAACUUUCCAAGUAUUGAUUUUAUGUUAGAAGGAAAUUAGGAUUAAUCAUCUGUCCACUAAAUUGGACAUUAUGCAUUGCUGGCUAUAUUUCAACUACAAAUAAUUAUUACUGAGACUUUGUUUUUCUUGAAAAUACUUAAUGUGCACGUUUUUGGAUGUAAAUCAAUGGAUUUAUGUUACAAUUGCAAUUUUUGUCACAAAAACAACAUUUUGUGCAGAUUAGUUCCAUUAUGUGAGUAACAUUUAGUGUGUUGCAGCAAGUGAUAGAAAGGCAUUCAGGAUAGUGGAGCCAAUUCCAUCAGAAUCAAGUAAGGAUAAUAGCAGUGGCAGUGAUGAUGAAUGGCUGCCAGAAAUAGGAGAAACCCCAAAUGCUAGCAGCAGUGACAGUGGAGCUGAGGAUGCUGAGAAAGAGAGGCUGAGGAGUCAGAGAUAUGGUAUGCUGAUCCAAAGAGGUGUCAUUAGAAGCAAGUUGGUCAUCUACAGCACUGAAGCCUGCAUGAUUUCAGGCCUGAGUCAAUACAACAAUAUAAAUAAGUAGAACACUGUUCUCGUGCUUUGUCUGUUCUUCCUCUUUGUUCUGCCAUUCUGUGUAUAUACUAUUAUUGCAAAGGGGAAAUGUUGAUUUCGAGAAAGGAAGUUUAAAUAUUUUAAAUAAACGUUGUUAGUUGUACUGACAUUAUGUUCAUGUGACACAUUGUGUGGUACUGUACAAGGUGUCAUUAGAUGUGACUGCAUUGCAUUGUAGCUAAAUAAAUGCAGUCUUGCCCAUUCAUUGUGGACUGCCUUUGGUAUUGCUUCUCAUUAUCCAAUUUAACAUGCAGGCCA